rnacentral:rRNA from 2 species
CAGGCUUAACACAUGCAAGUCGAGGGGCAGCAUGGUCUUAGCUUGCUAAGGCCGAUGGCGACCGGCGCACGGGUGAGUAACACGUAUCCAACCUGCCGUCUACUCUUGGACAGCCUUCUGAAAGGAAGAUUAAUACAAGAUGGCAUCAUGAGUCCGCAUGUUCACAUGAUUAAAGGUAUUCCGGUAGACGAUGGGGAUGCGUUCCAUUAGAUAGUAGGCGGGGUAACGGCCCACCUAGUCUUCGAUGGAUAGGGGUUCUGAGAGGAAGGUCCCCCACAUUGGAACUGAGACACGGUCCAAACUCCUACGGGAGGCAGCAGUGAGGAAUAUUGGUCAAUGGGCGAGAGCCUGAACCAGCCAAGUAGCGUGAAGGAUGACUGCCCUAUGGGUUGUAAACUUCUUUUAUAAAGGAAUAAAGUCGGGUAUGGAUACCCGUUUGCAUGUACUUUAUGAAUAAGGAUCGGCUAACUCCGUGCCAGCAGCCGCGGUAAUACGGAGGAUCCGAGCGUUAUCCGGAUUUAUUGGGUUUAAAGGGAGCGUAGAUGGAUGUUUAAGUCAGUUGUGAAAGUUUGCGGCUCAACCGUAAAAUUGCAGUUGAUACUGGAUAUCUUGAGUGCAGUUGAGGCAGGCGGAAUUCGUGGUGUAGCGGUGAAAUGCUUAGAUAUCACGAAGAACUCCGAUUGCGAAGGCAGCCUGCUAAGCUGCAACUGACAUUGAGGCUCGAAAGUGUGGGUAUCAAACAGGAUUAGAUACCCUGGUAGUCCACACGGUAAACGAUGAAUACUCGCUGUUUGCGAUAUACUGCAAGCGGCCAAGCGAAAGCGUUAAGUAUUCCACCUGGGGAGUACGCCGGCAACGGUGAAACUCAAAGGAAUUGACGGGGGCCCGCACAAGCGGAGGAACAUGUGGUUUAAUUCGAUGAUACGCGAGGAACCUUACCCGGGCUUAAAUUGCAGAUGAAUUACGGUGAAAGCCGUAAGCCGCAAGGCAUCUGUGAAGGUGCUGCAUGGUUGUCGUCAGCUCGUGCCGUGAGGUGUCGGCUUAAGUGCCAUAACGAGCGCAACCCUUGUUGUCAGUUACUAACAGGUUCCGCUGAGGACUCUGACAAGACUGCCAUCGUAAGAUGUGAGGAAGGUGGGGAUGACGUCAAAUCAGCACGGCCCUUACGUCCGGGGCUACACACGUGUUACAAUGGGGGGUACAGAGGGCCGCUACCACGCGAGUGGAUGCCAAUCCCCAAAACCUCUCUCAGUUCGGACUGGAGUCUGCAACCCGACUCCACGAAGCUGGAUUCGCUAGUAAUCGCGCAUCAGCCACGGCGCGGUGAAUACGUUCCCGGGCCUUGUACACACCGCCCGUCAAGCCAUGGGAGCCGGGGGUACCUGAAGUGCGUAACCGCGAGGAGCGCCCUAGGGUAAAACUGGUGACUGGG